UAAUCUAUGUAUGAAAGUAUUUCAUUGCAUAUUUGUCUGGUUAUGCCAGAUUGAGUCGCUAACAUGCACUCCAAUACCUAUAUUUGGAUACUUGAUAAAUAAAAUAGAAUAAGGAUAAGAUAGCUCUGUCAAAACUAUUUAAAGAACUACAUUAUUUUUUAAGGGGUACAUGAUAUAAAAACUAGUAGAUAAAGGAGAGAAAUGUAGUAUGGACGCGGGUAGAAGGUUGCGGGUGAGAUUUGACGUGUAGUAAGAUUAGUGUAGCCCGUGAAUCCAUUCCUAUAAUUAAGAUUAUCUUUGUUCUUGCUCGUUUUAAAUAGAAUGGGAUAAUGUCAUGUCACGUAACUAAUGAAGCAUACAUGCGGUGUACUAGUGUGUAUAUACAAAUAAAUACAUAAUAAUAAUAAUGAACCACAAUUCAAAAUAAUACUAAUAAUAGUAAUAAUGAACCACAGUUCACAUGCAUGGAUCUCUGCAUGUGACAAUACCAUUAUUAAUUUGUGCUGAACCCAAGGGCCAAAUUGUCGGGAUUAAUUUUGUUCCUAACUCAGUAUCAGCUAUCCAGUAUUCUUCAAACAAGAUAGAAAGGCAAAUUAAAAAAUCUUUCAGUGUUGGUGAAAAUGUCUGCCAGUUAUAAAUAAGCGUGGCGACAAGCACCACAAUACUACACAAAGUAUGAUAAAAGAAGCUCAAAUAAUUACCAAUGUUGAUCGCUAAUUCUGUAUCAGUAGGUCGUGGAUGUCAGCCAAUUUUUUGAAAAUGGUAUCCAUAACAAAUCCUGGAGAGUGACAACAUGAAGCUUUUUUUGGUGUCUGUGAUAAAGAGGUUUUAGACUUUUAGUGGCACUAUACUAGUUUCUUUUUGCUCAAUAAAUGCCAAAGUUGAACAUUAAUUCACAAAUAUCUUCCAACUAAAGACGACUUGAAACUAAAUCCAUCUUGUUACAGAAUGAAGUUUGCGUGCACACGGAAUUGGCUUAUACUUAGUCAAAUGGAACACAAGAACAAAUUACUUUAGUCAUUUCACCACUUCCGAGAUUUGAAUGAUAAGAUUUAACGUACAUUGCUCCCUAAAUAUAUUUUCCAAUGGCUGCAAAUGAAGCAAACUUGUGAAUGAGUCACAUGGGUUCAAAGGCUUUGCAUCGAUGUUUAGUGUGUGUGGAUGAUGAGCGAGCCGGUGUGUUUCAUGUAGUCAUCAGUUUAUGUAUACUUCUUCCGUUCCUUAAUGAUAGAUUUUUUUUUAAAAAAAAGUUUGUUUCAAAAAGAUGUAUUUUUUUGUGUUUUCUAUAAAAAAUUGUAAGUUUCAAGAUAAUUAAUUGACUUUAUUGAAUUACUAUUAGUUAAAAGUUAUUGAAAAUUGAAAAUUACAGAAAACGAUACAUUUAUUAUGGUAAUUUAAUGUGUUUUCUUAAUAUGUGUGAGAAUACUAAAAAGUCUAUCUUUGUAGAACGGAUGGAGUAUUACAUUAAAUCAAAUAUCCGUAGAGGAGAAGUCAUACAGCUCUAAGUUUGAGACGACUUAACAAAUUUUCAUAGCUCGAUGAGCCUUAAAUCUCUGUAUCUGAAAAAGAAAAAUCACUACUCUAACAAUUUAGUCAGAAUUUUCUAUGCUCAAUCAAUAAUCUUAUAGAAAAUUAGGUUUUAUCUAACUAUUUUUUGCUUUUCUAAUUUUAGACAUGGGCAGAUCCAGCUUGUUAAAUGUGUGGCAAGUGCCCCACAUAUAUAAAAUAUAUAGGUUUUAUUUUCUAGAAUUAAUAUUAGUUGUUUUAUAUUGUUAUAUAAAUGUGUAAUUUUAUAAAAGAAAUUAUACACAAUGUUGAAAGAGGAAUUACAUUAAGUAUUUAAUGAGUUAUUUAUAGACAAAGAAGGUCGGAAAUUUUGUUUAUUAUAAGUAAAUCGAACUGGGGAUUACAUAAAUGAAAGAUGGUUAAGAACGAAAUGGGCUCACUAACAUGACGAGCUUGUCACACAAAGUCUAUAAAGAGAAAAAUGAGUUCGGAUGUUAUCUCUCUAGGUCCAUGCCGAUGAGGCCAUAUAAAAUCCCUCUAUAAGCGUAAUGGCUCUACAAUGAAAAGACAGCUCGUCGUUCUUCGUCCCAAGAAUAUUUGAUACCUACAAACUAUAUACAUAAUAGAAACUUGUGUCUGGCGUGUUCUAUAUGAAAAGUGGUCCCGCAAAGUAUGAAUCUGAGGUAUUGUUUGUAUAAUUUUUGGGUUUUCUGUUUUAACGAGGCGGGUCUUGGUCAUCACUUCGGACCUUUGGAUGAAAAAUGCAUCUCUUCAAUUUAAUCCGGGUAUUAAUCGGAGUACAAAUACCAUAGCCAACACAUAUUACAUGUUUGUGCUCCAUACAAAAAUAUUUCCGAAACUGUAAUUAUAUGAUUGCAUGAUUUGCAUCAUUAAACGAUGAUUUUUUCAUUCUCAUGCACUAUCUCACUUUUAGAACAUCUCUAAUAUUACUCUAUUUUCACCUACAAACAUACAUUUAGUGAAAAAUCUUUUCCAGGGGUGCUCUAUAUCCUACUCCAAAAAUAAAACUCUAUAUCUUACUUUAAAUUUAGAUUAAUUUUUUUUUCUAUUUUUCUAUUAUAUUUUUUAUAUACAGAACAAUAUUUUCACUUUUGUUUUCAUUUUAUAUCUGAAAAGGUAUAUAUUUGGGUAGUCUAAUAAAUUUGUCACAAGGUAUCUAAGAACUUGUUAAAUUGCAUAAACAUUUGUGGCAAGUUUAGACAUCUUAACCUCUAAACAUUGAGGUAAUAAGUCUAAUGUUUCCUUCAUAAGAAACCAACAAAAUAUGAUUGUCUUGGGUUUUAUAAAUAAUUUAUUAAUUGACCCUGGUUAGACUAUGUACCUUGGUUACAUGUUUACAACACUCUAUUUUUACUUCGCACCAUAUUCUCUCUUACACUAUGUACAUUGAGCCAGUUGAAAAAUUAAUUCAACUGUUUAAUGUUUACAGUGAUGGUAUUGAAAGAAGAAAAAAAAAUCUGGAUUAAACUUAGUUGAAAAGAUUCAACUACUUAGAAAACAAAAAAAUAGGACCACAUUAAAGAUACUGGCCAAUCAAACUCUAUGGUAUGUUCCACGCCGCCUGAAGGUAUGUGACUUUUUUUGAAAAAUAAAUAUAGAAUAAUAUAACUGUUAAAUUCUAAUUGGUUGUUGGAGUUUCAAAUGAAUUAUCGUGUAAUAAGUUUUUUAUAAAUUAUUUUUAUAUCAAAAUUUGUCAUUUUUGUACUAUAUAAAUAGAAACUUGGUUUAUUUGAUUUGGAUACAUAAAUAAUUUUAGUAUAAUAUUGAUACUAUUUAUAAAUUGACUCUUAUUUAUAUAAAUAAAAACAAAAUAGAUCAAAACAAAAUUUUAUAACUCAAAACUGAAACAUUGUGUGAUAUAAAAGAUAAUGAGUGUUGAAUGAUGAUGUGGAAGAAAAAUAAAGUGAUGUGUAAUGAAAAAAAAAAGUAAAAAGAUGGGUGUAGAAUAAUAGAACAAUUGUAGAUAGUUUUACAUAUAUUCUUAUAUUUCUUCCACAUCACAAUUCAAUACCCACUCAGUUUUUAUUUUCUACAAUGGUUGUCCUAAAAAAUAUUUACGACACCUUAUCUCACUAAUUUUAUUCAUACUUUUGUUUUAUUUUAUAUUUUUGUGAUUACAUAUUAUUAAUAAAAAAUAUCAUUUGAAAUUAAAUCAAAUAAUUAAGAACUAAUUUUGUUUUUUGUUUUUAUUUUAUAUAUUAAUAUUUCACUAAAAGGAUGUUUAAUGCUAAAACAAAAAAUUAGUAGGAGCUAAAGCAAAAAUAUAGUUUAAAAAUUAGUUUUUUUGUCCGAAUGAAAUGAAACAAGUCUCAAUUUAUAGAGUAUGAAAAAUGAUAAAUUUGAUAAUAAAAAACAAAUAUAUAUAUAUAUAUAUAUAUAUCUAUAAUUAAAUGCAAUAAUUGAUGUUAAAUAAUUGAGAUGAAAAAAAGUUUGAAAAUAUGAGCAUCCAAUCAGUUUCUUACACUUGUCUUCAUCCAUCUAUUUUCGUUGAAAUUAAAAUUUGAGAGACAACAUUAAUAUUUUGGUCUAAUCAACAUUUUCCACGUCAUAUAAAAAGGACGCAUGUUUUUUUCAACAAUCUUGAUAAAUUUCAACACUAAAUUUGCCACAUCAUGUAUUUUACUUUUACAACAAACCAUUGUAAGCUUAUCGACAGUUGUUAAUACAAUUUGAUAAAUCUUCCAUGGUAAAUAGUCUUAUAGAAAUUAAUUGAAUAAAAAAAAGAAUUAAACGGAUUAAACUCGGCCGACGAUUCUUCUCAGAACCCUCCCCGAUCAAAGAAGGUAACUUGGACGACAACUUCAUACGACCCCGAGAAACGCAUCUUUAAACUUCAUGUGGCAACCUACCAAAAGCUGUUGAGAAAUGACGAGAGAAGCAUUCACAACUAACCCACCUUGACCAACCAUACAAACCCACCAAAGCGUACUGCGGCAGCACAACAGAGCGUCUUUUCCCUUCCUCAAAAAAAAAAAAUCUAUAUGAGCCACAUCUCCCUUCUUGUCCUAAAACGGGAUCUUCGCUAGAGAUCACACAGAUCCAAGAUCUCGCAUCUAUUAGACCAUCAAGACCAUCCAUUAUUCCGCCGCUAAGUGUCAGUUCAUCAACUCCACAAUCCCCCCAAAGAAAAAAAAAUAGUCGAAUUGUUGUGAAUGCAAGAAAAGUCUUGCAUUGAAAGUUUAAACAAAUAAUGUCUAGUAUAUAAUAGGAUAUCCAACUCUUAUUACUAUGAGACCUUUUGAGAAAGAAGCCAAAACCAAACCCAUGUGGACUUGCCUCUUACGCCCAAAGUGAACAUUAUCGUACUAAUCGUUGGCGAGUGAGUUGGAUAUAGGCUUGAAAAAGUCCAACAAUUAGUAUCAGAGCGGAGAUGACAAAAAACUACAUGAAGGCCAAAAUACUCUUUAAGUUCGAGGAUAACGAUCAUUGUUGGGAGUGAGAUGUAUGUGGCAGAGACCAAUCAAAAAGAUCCCAAACGCUUCAGUUGUGGAAGGAGCAUCCUAAAGGAAACUUCGCGAUUAGGGGUGCUGAAGACUUAUGUUGAAAGUCUUUCCCUCCCGACAAUACAAAGAUUAGGUGGAUAUUCCUAACAGUGAUGCAAGGUUUAGGUGGUGAAUUUUCUAAUGGUGCUCUGCAAGGGUUAGGUGAAUAAAUCCUAAUGGUGUGACAAGAGUUAGGUGAAAAUUCAUUUUGGUGAUUACGUCGGUAUAAGAUAUGUGCCAGGUUUUGCUGGAGGAUGGAGGAAAAGGGUUUGUGUGGUGUGGUACUUGGUUUGAGAGGAAGUUUGAUGUGAAUGCAAAAAAAGUUUCACAUUAGAAGUUUAAACAAAUAAUAUCUAAUAUAUAAUAGGAUGUCCAACUCUAAGUAGUACGAAAUAUUUUAGGAAGGAAACCAAAACCAAAUUCAUUCGGUUUUGCCUCUUAGACCCAAAUGGAUAAUAUCGUACUAAUCAUUCGCGAAUUAUUUGGACAUGGACUUUAAAAAGCCCAACACAAAUCAAAUCAGAAAACCAAAAAAAAGGUGAAACAUGUUCUAAAGAAAAAAUAGACCUCGGCUCAGCGUCGGCUCGGCUCGGCGUGGGCUUGGGCUUGGGUCUUGGGUUCUUUUUGGACCAACUUAAGUACAACGUUUUGCCAGUUCAUUUCUAAAAAACAGCAUGACAUUUGUGUGUAAACGGCAUGUAGUUCGUAUAAAAACGACACGAAGUUUAUCUGUUCGAAAUGGAUCAGAACGAGUCAACAAGAGAGAAACUUGAGAAAGCUGCUCAACGUUUGCAACAAUUUCGAAAAACCGCUCAUCGUCUCCUCUUUAAAUACAUACUCUCCUCCUCUUCAUUUCUCAUUUCUUUUUACAUCGAAACCGACAGCAAAAAUACCUUAGCGUAAGUCAUAAAUACGAGAGUGUUUCGUAGAGUUUAUAGUUUGAUAGGGCGAUCACGAGUGAAACGUGAUUCGUCUGCCAUGGUUGUAUCAUGAGAUUCUAUAUUCGUACAGUCCCGUCUCGCUAAGGGAACAAAUAUUUUGAGUUAAGGAAAGAUAUCAUAUCUUGACUCCAUGUCUGUUUGCGAAUACGAUUUCUUAUCGUUCUUGUAUUCGUUUUUUACAUUCAUUUAUUUUCUUUACUUCGCUUUUAUUAUAUCGUUUAUGCCAGUCUGGUUUACCGACUUCUACAGAUCUAUCACAGAAGAAGCCUCAAAGUCGGAGUCACUCCCGGAGAAAUCCCGCGGUCACAACACUGGAUCCCUAAAGAACCUAGCCUCAAAACUCAAACUCUGCCAAUCUCGUCGACGUUUCACCGUCUAGAAAACCGUAGACAACCGCGUUUUUUCCUAUAUUCAAUCUAGUCAAGAGAGACCUCCGCCAAAUUUGAAAUUUGAAUGUUUCAAAUAUCAAUCAAUUAGUUAUAACUGGUCAGGUUAUAUAUCAAAAUAACCAAAAUUGCCGUGUUGAGUUAGAUCGAAGCUACGUAUUGUAGUGGCGCAAAAUGAAUAAAAUAAAUUGUUUACAAAAAAGUAAAUAAAAUAUAACCUAUACUAAAAGGGAUAUAUGAGCAUCAGCCAGCCUAUCCACGUCGACAUUUUAAUUCACACCACUUAUGAGUUGCCACGUCUGCUUAAACUCUGCGUCAUUUACAAACUGGACAAAGCAAAACUAACCCGUAUGCAUUUUUCAGGCCCGAGUCUUUUUAGUAUUGUUUGCGUAAAAUAAGCCCAUCUUCAGGCCACCAAAAUUUACGAACAAACUUAUCUCCCAUCUACGGUGUCCUGUCUCUUCGUCUACUGUGAUAACCUCACCGCACGUUCCAAGUCGCCGGUAUAACGGCUCCCAUCCACAACAAUGACUCAUCAAAUCGAAUUCAUUACUGUAGCUCUUCACAUCCCUUGUCUUCCCCCAAUAUAUUUCUCUCUGAUUUUCGCUUCUUUUAUGCUAUCUCUUCACAUCCCGUACAUUCACCUUCUAUAUAUCUAUCCUCUUUUUGAUUCUCACCACUCCACAGGGCCACCAAAAGAAAUCUCAUGCAUCAAUCAAAGAAAACGUCAAAAUAUAUGAGAUGGCUCUGGCUUCUCUAAUCUUCAACGAUGUUGUCCCAGGCUUGAGGGAGGCGAAGCUGAACUUCAGUUGACAUCCUUCGAUUGAUAGAGUAGUAACCUAUCAACGGUGCCAAUUUUUUAUGAUAGGGUACUCUAGGGUAAUCAAGAAGAGAAGAGAUGGUUUCACCUAUGGCUUAGACGAGAAGAGAGGAAAACCGCUUUCUCUGAAAUACAGCUUGGAGGAGUUGCAGACAAUGGUCAAUGAUAUGGACUAUGGAUUACGACUUACGAUCAGAACCGUUAGUCCGAGAGUUCUUUGAUUAUAAUGUUGGGAUGGGGUUGAAAUCAGAGGAUUUAUGUAACGGAGAGAAGGGUUAGGCUGAUAAUUUUAAUACUUGGUGUGGCUCAACAUUGUCGUUGAUGUAUACAUGGGAAGAACCUGAGCAGAUAGAUUGUUGAGAGCCGUUGCAGUGUGCUUCCUGGUUUGAAAACAGCUGUUCCUUAUGAUUAUCUUGACUUUAGUUCUGGUAGUGAUUGGGAUCAAGUUUUUAAGAAAGCGGAAGAGGAGUUUCAGAAAGAGAAUUAGAGGUCGGAUGAAGUUGUUUGAGCUUUUUUUUCCACUUCAUCUUCCUCUUUAAAGUGUUGUCUUCAUGUUCUUAAAGUUGUAACCUUGAUUGUGUUUGUUGUGCCUCUUUGUUACUUUUUGGCAUUAUUUAUUUUCUAAGCAAUGGACCAGUACGAUCCAGUUUGGUUUAAGAUGUUUGAAUUAUACCACAAUUAAAAACAAGGUUAAAGAAAGAAGCUGUA